AUUGGCUGCCAGCCAUUUUCAGAUCAACCAACCUGUCACUGCCAGCCAAUUCAGAGCAUGUGGACUGAUCUUUCAAGUCCCACAGAAUAUCGAGUUAUAAGAUUAUGUAAACACCAAAACUACCGAAUGAAAGAGUAGACUCUCUUCUUUCAUAAGAGAAAAAAAAGUUUGUUUCUACCUUUUUCUUCUUUUGAAAAUGAC